GCUCAAAUGGUGUAGUGGCUAUCACAUCUGCCUCACACGCAGAGGGUCCCAGGUUCGAACCCUGGUUUGAGCA
rfam:Folsomia candida strain VT population Fcan01_Sc057, whole genome shotgun sequence.